rnacentral:rRNA from 1 species
CCUACGGGAGGCAGCAGUGAGGAAUAUUGGUCAAUGGGCGCAAGCCUGAUCCAGCCAUGCCGCGUGCAGGAAGAAGCAUCUAUGGUGUGUAAACUGCUUUUGUACGGGAAGAAACACUCCUUCGUGAAGGAGCUUGACGGUACCGUAAGAAUAAGGAUCGGCUAACUCCGUGCCAGCAGCCGCGGUAAUA